rnacentral:SRP_RNA from 8 species
GGUCGGGCCCCGCACGGUGGAGCCCCGUGAACCCCGUCAGGUCCGGAAGGAAGCAGCGGCAGCGGGCGCGCCGCGCGUUGCGGAACCGUCCGGUCCGG